rnacentral:misc_RNA from 1 species
GAUGAAGAACGCAGCGAAAUGCGAUACUUGGUGUGAAUUGCAGAAUCCCGUGAACCAUCGAGUCUUUGAACGCAAGUUGCGCCCGAAGCCACUAGGCCGAGGGCACGCCUGCCUGGGCGUCACACGCCGUUGCCCCCCCAUCUACUCCUUCGGGAUUGCGGGGGGGCGGAUGAUGGCCUCCCGUGCGCCUAGCCGCGCGGUUGGCAUAAAUACCAAGUCCUCGGCGCCGCACGCCACGACAAUCGGUGGUUGCGAAACCUCGGUUGCCCGUCGUGUGCGUUCGUCGCGCAUCGAGGGCUCGAAAAAAUGCUCGGCUCCGGCUGGGCUUUCAACGCGACCCCAGGUCAGGCGGGGUUACCCGCUGAAUUUAAGCAUAUCAAUAAGCGGAGGA